GACGAACGCUGGCGGCGUGCUUAACACAUGCAAGUCGAACGGAAAGGCCCUGCUUUUGUGGGGUGCUCGAGUGGCGAACGGGUGAGUAACACGUGAGUAACCUGCCCUUGACUUUGGGAUAACUUCAGGAAACUGGGGCUAAUACCGGAUAGGAGCUCCUGCUGCAUGGUGGGGGUUGGAAAGUUUCGACGGUUGGGGAUGGACUCGCGGCUUAUCAGCUUGUUGGUGGGGUAGUGGCUUACCAAGGCUUUGACGGGUAGCCGGCCUGAGAGGGUGACCGGCCACAUUGGGACUGAGAUACGGCCCAGACUCCUACGGGAGGCAGCAGUGGGGAAUAUUGCACAAUGGGCGGAAGCCUGAUGCAGCAACGCCGCGUGCGGGAUGACGGCCUUCGGGUUGUAAACCGCUUUCGCCUGUGACGAAGCGUGAGUGACGGUAAUGGGUAAAGAAGCACCGGCUAACUACGUGCCAGCAGCCGCGGUGAUACGUAGGGUGCGAGCGUUGUCCGGAUUUAUUGGGCGUAAAGGGCUCGUGGGUGGUUGAUCGCGUCGGAAGUGUAAUCUUGGGGCUUAACCCUGAGCGUGCUUUCGAUACGGGUUGACUUGAGGAAGGUAGGGGAGAAUGGAAUUCCUGGUGGAGCGGUGGAAUGCGCAGAUAUCAGGAGGAACACCAGUGGCGAAGGCGGUUCUCUGGGCCUUUCCUGACGCUGAGGAGCGAAAGCGUGGGGAGCGAACAGGCUUAGAUACCCUGGUAGUCCACGCUGUAAACGGUGGGUACUAGGUGUGGGGUCCAUUCCACGGGUUCCGUGCCGUAGCUAACGCUUUAAGUACCCCGCCUGGGGAGUACGGCCGCAAGGCUAAAACUCAAAGGAAUUGACGGGGCCCCGCACAAGCGGCGGAGCAUGCGGAUUAAUUCGAUGCAACGCGUAGAACCUUACCUGGGUUUGACAUGGAUCGGGAGUGCUCAGAGAUGGGUGUGCCUCUUUUGGGGUCGGUUCACAGGUGGUGCAUGGCUGUCGUCAGCUCGUGUCGUGAGAUGUUGGGUUAAGUCCCGCAACGAGCGCAACCCUUGUUCACUGUUGCCAGCACGUUAUGGUGGGGACUCAGUGGAGACCGCCGGGGUCAACUCGGAGGAAGGUGGGGAUGACGUCAAGUCAUCAUGCCCCUUAUGUCCAGGGCUUCACGCAUGCUACAAUGGCUGGUACAGAGAGUGGCGAGCCUGUGAGGGUGAGCGAAUCUCGGAAAGCCGGUCUCAGUUCGGAUUGGGGUCUGCAACUCGACCUCAUGAAGUCGGAGUCGAUAGUAAUCGCAGAUCAGCAACGCUGCGGUGAAUACGUUCCCGGGGCU
rnacentral:rRNA from 1 species